rnacentral:rRNA from 1 species
GAUCCGUAUGAUUUCGUCUACAACAACAUACCAGCAAGCACAAACGUGCUCAAAAAAGAACCAAAUUGCCAUUUCUGCCAUGCAACCAAAUUCAAGUAUGAAACUGAGGGAUUAUGCUGCAAAAAAGGACAGGUAAGACUAGCCGAUCCAGAUAAGCCACUUGAACUCAUGAGGCUUUGGACAAGCAAUGACCCUGAUGCUAGACAUUUUCGGCAAAAUAUAAGAUUUUUCAAUGGGCACUUCUCAUUUACUACCCUAUACUGCCACCUUGACAGAGACACGACUGACAUCGAACGGAUGGUAUUUACACCUUUCGAGCACAUGGUCAAAUAUAUCACAACAUACACUCAUUUGGUAAUAGUCACUCAGAUCCAAAACAUCUGGAGUUGUACUUCUAUGAUGAUGAUCCAAGCUUAG